rnacentral:rRNA from 1 species
AGCAGCCGCGGUAAUUCCAGCUCCAAUAGCGUAUAUUAAAGUUGUUGCAGUUAAAAAGCUCGUAGUUGAAUUUCGGGAUCAAUAUUUCGGUCAUGCCGUUGGUAUGCACUGUUAUCAUUGAUUUCUCACCUUCUAAAGAACCGUAAUGCCAUUAAUUUGGUGUUACGGGGAAUUAGGACUGUUACCUUGAAAAAAUUAGAGUGUUUAAAGCAGGCUCACGCUUGAACACAUUAGCAUGGAAUAAUGAAAUAGGACAUCCGAUUCUAUUUUGUUGGUUUCUAGGAUCGAUGUAAUGAUUAAUAGGGAUAGUUGGGGGCAUUAGUAUUCAAUUGUCAGAGGUGAAAUUCUUGGAUUUAUUGAAGACUAACUACUGCGAAAGCAUUUGCCAAGGAUGUUUUCAUUAAUCAAGAACGAAAGUUAGGGGAUCGAAGACGAUCAGAUACCGUCGUAGUCUUAACCGUAAACUAUGCCGACUAGGAAUCAGACGAUGUUAAUUUUUUUAAUGUACUCG